UUAGAGUUUGAUCAUGGCUCAGGAUAAACGCUGGCGGCGCACAUAAGACAUGCAAGUCGAACGGACUUAACCUUAUCUUUUAGAUUUGGAGCGGUUAGUGGCGGACUGGUGAGUAACACGUAAGCAACCUGCCUAUCAGAGGGGAAUAACAGUGAGAAAUCAUUGCUAAUACCGCAUAUGCUAACAGUAUCGCGUGAUACAGUUAGGAAAGGAGCAAUCCGCUGAUAGAUGGGCUUGCGUCUGAUUAGUUAGUUGGUGGGGUAACGGCCUACCAAGACCACGAUCAGUAGCCGAACUGAGAGGUUGAACGGCCACAUUGGGACUGAGAUACGGCCCAGACUCCUACGGGAGGCAGCAGUCGGGAAUAUUGCGCAAUGGAGGAAACUCUGACGCAGUGACGCCGCGUAUAGGAAGAAGGUUUUCGGAUUGUAAACUAUUGUCAUUAGGGAAGAUACAAGACAGUACCUAAGGAGGAAGCCCCGGCUAACUAUGUGCCAGCAGCCGCGGUAAUACAUAGGGGGCGAGCGUUAUCCGGAUUUAUUGGAUGUAAAGGGUGCGUAGACGGAGAGACAAGUUGGUUGUGAAAUCCCUCGGCUUAACUGAGGAACUGCAACCAAAACUAUUUCCCUUGAGUGUCGGAGGGGAAAGUGGAAUUCCUAGUGUAGCGGUGAAAUGCGUAGAUAUUAGGAGGAACGCCGGUGGCGAAGGCGACUUUCUGGACGAUAACUGACGUUGAGGCACGAAAGUGUGGGGAGCAAACAGGGAUUAGAUACCCUGGUAGUCCACACUGUAAACGAUGGAUACUAGGUGUAGGGUGUAUUAAGCACUCUGUGCCGCCGCUAACGCAUUAAGUAUCCCACCUGGGGAGUACGACCGCAAGGUUGAAACUCAAAGAAAUUGACGGGGGCCCGCACAAGCAGUGGAGUAUGUGGUUUAAUUCGAAGCAACGCGAAGAACCUUACCAGGGCUUGACAUAUACAGGAAAGAUCUAGAGAUAGAUCCCUUCUUCGGAACUUGUAUACAGGUGGUGCAUGGUUGUCGUCAGCUCGUGUCGUGAGAUGUUGGGUUAAGUCCCGCAACGAGCGCAACCCCUAUUGCUAGUUACUAACAGGUUAAGCUGAGGACUCUAGCGAGACUGCCGGUGAUAAAUCGGAGGAAGGUGGGGAUGACGUCAAAUCAUCAUGCCCUUUAUGUCCUGGUCUACACACGUACUACAAUGGCUGUUACAGAGGGAAGCAAUAUAGUGAUAUGGAGCAAAACCCUAAAAGCAGUCUCAGUUCGGAUUGAAGGCUGAAAUUCGCCUUCAUGAAGCCGGAAUUGCUAGUAAUGGCAGGUCAGCAUACUGCCGUGAAUACGUUCCCGGGCCUUGUACACACCGCCCGUCACACCAUGAGAGUUGGAAAUACCCGAAGCCUGUGAGCUAACAAUCGAGGCAGCAGUCGAAGGUAGAGCCAAUGAUUGGGGUGAAGUCGUAACAAGGUAGCCGUAUCGGAAGGUGCGGCUGGAUCACCUCCUU
rnacentral:rRNA from 1 species